rnacentral:rRNA from 1 species
UACGGAGGGUGCAAGCGUUAUCCGGAUUCACUGGGUUUAAAGGGUGCGUAGGUGGGUUGGUAAGUCCGUGGUGAAAUCUCCGAGCCUAACUCGGAAACUGCCGUGGAUACUAUCAAUCUUGAAUACUGUGGAGGUAAGCGGAAUAUGUCAUGUAGCGGUGAAAUGCUUAGAUAUGACAUAGAACACCGAUACGGAGGCAGCUUGCUACACAGUCAUUGACACUGAGGCACGAAAAGCGUGGGGGAUCAAACAGGAUU